GAGUUUGAUCAUGGCUCAGAGUGAACGCUGGCGGUAGGCCUAACACAUGCAAGUCGAACGGCAGCACAGAGGAGCUUGCUCCUUGGGUGGCGAGUGGCGGACGGGUGAGGAAUACAUCGGAAUCUACUCUGUCGUGGGGGAUAACGUAGGGAAACUUACGCUAAUACCGCAUACGACCUACGGGUGAAAGCAGGGGAUCUUCGGACCUUGCGCGAUUGAAUGAGCCGAUGUCGGAUUAGCUAGUUGGCGGGUAAAGGCCACCAAGGCGACGAUCCGUAGCUGGUCUGAGAGGAUGAUCAGCCACACUGGAACUGAGACACGGUCCAGACUCCUACGGGAGGCAGCAGUGGGGAAUAUUGGACAAUGGGCGCAAGCCUGAUCCAGCCAUACCGCGUGGUGAAGAAGGCCUCGGUU
rnacentral:rRNA from 1 species